rnacentral:rRNA from 1 species
UACGUAGGUGGCAAGCGUUACUCGGAAUCACUAGGCGUAAAGCGCAGGUAGGCGGUUGGAUAAGUCUGUUGUGAAAGCUCCCGGCUCAACUGGGAGAGGCCAACGGAAACUAUCCGGCUUGAGUAUGGUAGGGGUAACUGGAAUUCCCGGAGUAGCGGUGAAAUGCGUAGAUAUCGGGAGGAAUACCUAUGGCGAAAGCAGGUUACUGGGCCAUUACUGACGCUGAGCUGCGAAAGCUAGGGGAGCAAACAGG